GAAAUAUUUCAAUAAGCUUCUAACUUAUAAUUAAGCAUGAUAUGUUUAUAUUUCU
rnacentral:tRNA from 1 species